GAAGGUGUAGCUCAGUGGUAGAGCACAUGCUUAGCGUGCUCAAGGUCCUGGGUUCAAUCCCCAGGACCUCCA
rnacentral:tRNA from 1 species